UACGUAGGGGGGCUAGCGUUGUCCGGAAUCAUUGGGCGUAAAGCGCGUGUAGGCGGCCCGGUAAGUCCGCUGUGAAAGUCGGGGGCUCAACCCUCGAAUGCCGGUGGAUACUGUCGGGCUAGAGUGCGGGAGAGGCGAGUGGAAUUCCUGGUGUAGCGGUGAAAUGCGCAGAUAUCAGGAGGAACACCAAUUGCGAAGGCAGCUCGCUGGAACGUAACUGACGCUGGAGACGCGAAAGCGUGGGGAGCAAACAGG
rnacentral:rRNA from 1 species